GCCCUUUAGCUCAGUUAGUAAGAGCGCCGGUCUUAUAAGCCGUAGGUCGUUGGUGCAAUUCCAACAAGGGCUA
rnacentral:tRNA from 1 species